rnacentral:rRNA from 1 species
CAGCCGUAAACUAUGCGCGUUAGGUGUACUGGUGACCACGAGUCACCGGGGUGCCGAAGGGAAACCGUGAAACGUGCCGCCUGGGAAGUACGGUCGCAAGGCUGAAACUUAAAGGAAUUGGUCGGGGGGAGGCACCACAACGGGUGGAGCCUGCGGUUUAAUUGGACUCAACGCCGGAAAUCUCACCGGAUAGGACAGACAUAUGAUAGUCGGGCUGAAGACUCUACUUGAUGAUCUGAGAGGUGGUGCAUGGC